UCCCAUCAGGUGGAGUGAUGUUAGG
rnacentral:piRNA from 1 species